rnacentral:misc_RNA from 1 species
AAAGUCGUAACAAGGUUUCCGUAGGUGAACCUGCGGAAGGAUCAUUAACACGAAUUUUAUCCAAUAUCAAAACCAACCGUGAACUUUUCCCCUCCCUGUUUAUCAAACGCUUGGCUUGCUUAACAACAAGUACACAGAUUUGAUCUACAGGCUAACCCUUUUUUAUUAAUUUUAACCCCUAUUAACUCUUUGUUUUACCUUUAUCAAAAGGCCAAAACAACUAACUAAAAAAUUGACUAAGACCCAACAAUUUAUUUGUUGUUUCUUAUUUAUAUUUUUUCUAUUACGAAAUAAUAUUUACUAAAGAACAACUCUUAACAAUGGAUAUCUUGGUUCUC